rnacentral:rRNA from 1 species
AUUGAACGCUGGCGGCAUGCCUUACACAUGCAAGUCGAACGGUAACAGGUCUUCGGAUGCUGACGAGUGGCGAACGGGUGAGUAAUACAUCGGAACGUGCCCGAUCGUGGGGGAUAACGAAGCGAAAGCUUUGCUAAUACCGCAUAAGAUCCACGGAUGAAAGCAGGGGACCGCAAGGCCUUGCGCGAACGGAGCGGCCGAUGGCAGAUUAGGUAGGUGGUGGGAUAAAAGCUUACCAAGCCGACGAUCUGUAGCUGGUCUGAGAGGACGACCAGCCACACUGGGACUGAGACACGGCCCAGACUCCUACGGGAGGCAGCAGUGGGGAAUUUUGGACAAUGGGCGAAAGCCUGAUCCAGCCAUGCCGCGUGCAGGAUGAAGGCCUUCGGGUUGUAAACUGCUUUUGUACGGAACGAAAAGACUCUUUCUAAUAAAGAGGGUCCAUGACGGUACCGUAAGAAUAAGCACCGGCUAACUACGUGCCAGCAGCCGCGGUAAUAC